GUUCUAACAGAGCUAAGGCAAACAAACCGCCAACGUUACAGCUAUUAUGUCACAUCUACGAAUGAAGGGAUAAAGCCUGGAGAGCAGCAAUAGUUCAUGGUCCACAAGAAGAGAGACACUUGGAGAAGAAUCGUCUGUCUGGCCCAGACUUUGACUUCAUCAAACGUUCUCACAAGCUCCACCCACAUAUUUAAAGCAGGAAGAGAAACAUUUGUCAGAAGCUCUUACUGUAGUGACAAAACACAAAGAGAAAUGAAGACAGUGUGGAACAUUUGAGGGCAUUCUGCGUUUUUUUCCAUUUUGCAGUUGGAUGGUUAGAAGUGAACUUCAUGUUGAAGAAUCAGUCACAGUUCUGAUCAUCGUCUUGAACUUCUGACACUGCCGACUUUUGGGCUACAAGACUGCUGAAACGCUGGUCUUUGAACCUCCAUCACUGUCUGAUGGUAGACCUCGAUCAAAGUCAUCCCGGGAUUCUUUCACGUCUUUCAUCUGGAACAGCCAGACCGCACAGUCGGAGGAAGGGGGGCAGACUGCAGUUGUAUUGCAGGAGCCUGCAUUUUACAAUGCUUACAUCCCAUAUUAACCCAGAAUCUCUUAACAAGCUGCAGUCAGGCUGUUGAAGUGAGAGUCAGUCCUUCCUUGUUGAAUCACAGUGGAGUCCUUUUGCUCAAUUUUAAAGCCCUUUAGUGCUGAGAUGAAGGAACUUCCAUCAGAACAUUUCUUUCUCUCAGUAUAAACUCUGUUAUUUGUUUAACAAAUGAUGAGAGGCAACAUACAAACUGCAGCAAUCCAUGCAGAAUUUCAUGCCUGCAAACACGGUGCAUUUUCUGAAGGAGAUUCUUGCAUGCAUGUCAAAACCAUGUGACCAGACCAGAAUGAUAACAGCUUCUACUGCUGAUUACGCCCAGCCUUAUGAAUAAUGUGCAAGUCACUGUUUGGCAGGAAGACCUGAACACAAACAGCAGGUUGGAGAUUUUGGACUGAAGGUAGUUCCAGUCUUAUGAAACAAAAAAGAGAAAAAAAGAAAGAAUCACUGCAAAGCUGAAAAUCCAACCAAACCCAAACAAAUGCCUGAAAGAGCAGAAACCAAGCUUGGCAAAAAGGAAAAACAAACCAAGGACAGACAAUGAGGGCACGACAAAGCAAAACAGAAAAACAAAAAAACAGGUGAGUGAUAUAGCAGGUGUGUGGUGGGAAAAGAACAGCAAGAUAAUCAACAGGACUGAAAACAGGCUUACAGCAGGAGAAACAUGGAAAAAGCAAAGAAAAACUCCAGGAAAGACUGGUUCUGUGGGGUCAAAUCAGGAUCUGCUAAAGUGAAGGAAAAACACCUUUGAAAAUGUGAAAAAAAAA